GACGAACGCUGGCGGCGUGCUUAACACAUGCAAGUCGAGCGGUAAGGCCCUUUCGGGGGUACACGAGCGGCGAACGGGUGAGUAACACGUGGGUGACCUGCCCUCAGCUCUGGGAUAAGCCUGGGAAACCGGGUCUAAUACCGGAUAUGACUCCAUGACGCAUGUUGUGGGGUGGAAAGCCUUGUGCGGCUGAGGAUGGGCCCGCGGCCUAUCAGCUUUGUUGGGUGGGGUGANGGCCUACCAAGGCGACGACGGGUAGCCGGCCUGAGAGGGCGACCGGCCACACUGGGACUGAGACACGGCCCAGACUCCUACGGGAGGCAGCAGGUGGGGAAUCUUGCGCAAGUGGGCGAAAGCCUGACGCAGCGACGCCGCGUGAGGGAUGACGGCCUGG
rnacentral:rRNA from 1 species